rnacentral:snoRNA from 10 species
ACGACCUUACUUGAACAGGAUCUGUUCUAUAGGCUCGUACCGUUGCAUCCUUGACUAAUAAGGAGGCAAGCACUCAAGCUUGGUUGAUGACGCAUGACCUGUGGGCCAGAGCGUGAUUGACGGCCCGGAUCAUUUCCGUGUGAAUUGAUCCCGCGGCUGUAGAGGAUCGUUCCUUGCCGGGCUUUCGCUUGGUCAGGGUUGGCCCAUAGGUUGUCUGACAGGCA